UACGUAGGGGGCGAGCGUUGUCCGAAUUUACUGGGCGUAAAGCGCGCGUAGGCGGUCCUUUAAGUUGAUUGUGAGAUCUUCACGGCUCAACCGGAAAACUGCGGUCAAAACUGGAGGACUUGAGAUUGGGAGAGGGAAGUGGAAUUCCUGGUGUAGCGGUGAAAUGCGUAGAUAUCAGGAGGAACACCGAUGGCGAAGGCAGCUUCCUGGCCCAAUUCUGACGCUGAGGUGCGAAAGCGUGGGGAGCAAACAGG
rnacentral:rRNA from 1 species